ACUCGAGUGGCGAACGGGUGAGUAACACGUGGGUGAUCUGCCUUGCACUCUGGGAUAAGCUUGGGAAACUGGGUCUAAUACCGGAUAGGAACCGUCUUUAGUGUGGUGGUUGGAAAGUUUUUCGGUGCAAGAUGAGCCCGCGGCCUAUCAGCUUGUUGGUGGGGUAAUGGCCUACCAAGGCGACGACGGGUAGCCGGCCUGAGAGGGUGUACGGCCACAUUGGGACUGAGACACGGCCCAG
rnacentral:rRNA from 1 species